UACGUAGGGGGCGAGCGUUGUCCGGAUUCAUUGGGCGUAAAGAGCUCGUAGGCGGUUUGGUAAGUCGGGUGUGAAAACCCCAGGCUCAACCUGGGGACGCCACCUGAUACUGCUAUGACUUGAGUCUGGUAGGGGACCACGGAAUUCCUGGUGUAGCGGUGAAAUGCGCAGAUAUCAGGAGGAACACCGGUGGCGAAGGCGGUGGUCUGGGCCAGUACUGACGCUGAGGAGCGAAAGCGUGGGUAGCAAACAGG
rnacentral:rRNA from 2 species